UUCAAGGUUCUUCCAUCUUCUGGCCUGAAAUAUUGAAAUUGAAGCGCAGAUACACAUUUAGACUUUUAUAUCUGUUAAAUUCGAAGAGAGUGUCAGUCAAAUUACAAUUAAUUCAUUUAAUUUGAAUUUAUAUAAGUAAUUAAAUUAUUUUACACAUCAAAAUGACUAUUCAAGUCAAUGUUGUAAUCUAACUACUUAUAUUUACUCUUUCAUGUUUAUAUUUUCCCGAUGUGGGAUU
rnacentral:misc_RNA from 1 species